UUAAGACCUGCAGACGGAGCCAGAAGAAGUUACCAAUGGGACAAUAUAAUCACAGAAAGCAUGAAUGAAACUUCUGUACAUCCCUCUUUAUAGUUUCCAAAGCAGCCAGUAAGUACGACUACCUACUCGGCGUAAGGUUCAUCAAUAUUGGUGUUCCUUCACUCUUCAUGCCCUGCAAAUCUGGGCAGCAUCAGUGGAGUCAUGGAGAACCGUCACUGAAUGUUAUGCUGAAACAAGGAACGAGGAGUAAGUACUUCAGACCUUGCUCUAGGGCAGGAGAAAGAACCAGCCCAACGCCAAUUCCAGCCCAAUCCGGCCCAACAUUGCAUUAGUCCGCCACUGAAACUACCAAACGACUUUGGUGAUCGUGACGAGGCGUGGGCUUCUUUUACAAACCAAUUACCGGGAGGGUAAAGCUCGGGUAGAUUGAAAAGAAUUAGCCAGGCUUCCGUAGGUAGCUGUUAUAGUUCCAAAGUCUGCCCUUUUCUCGUUUGUAUUUGUCCCUCCAACUCCUCCUCCGUCACCGCCGCCGCCGCCGCCGCCCCCGCCCCCGCCGCCGCCGCUUCAUCGCAGUAUGUACCAUGAGAUGAAGAUCAAAUGGGAUGAAAAAUGCGCAUUGAACUUCAAUUAUUGGAUGGGUGUUCUGACCUAAUAUGAGAAACUGAGACACCUGAUUCAGAGUGGGACGGCUCUUUUAUGCAGCGGAUUUUGAGUAUACCUAGAGUUCUUCCGCUGUUGUUGUCUCUACCAAAUAAGUAGAAGGUUACAUCAGAUGAUUCAGUGAACUAUGUUUUCUAUCUUGAUUACUGUUUUCAUUUUAGAAGCAUAACCUCUUGAACUUAUUUAUUUCUAAGAUUAUGCCAAAUUGUUGACACUUUCUCAAUGCCCAAGGCAAAUAUGGAGAGAGGAAGACAUGGACCAGAGGAGCAGCUCCGGUCCUUUUACAGAGGAGGCUCGAGGCGGAAAAAAUAAAGAUCCAAAAUAAAUUUGGGCCCCAACUAUUCAAGGUCCUAAUUACAUGCCUAAAAAGAUAAAAGUAAAAGACAAUAUCAAAAGAUUCUGAAAUAUGAAUUUGGACUAAACUAUUCAAGGGCUCAAUUACAUGCCUAUGAUACAUAAUACUAAAAAAAAAAUUGAGUUCUCUCAAAAUAUGGGCCCAGGGUCAUCGUCCAGUGUCGUCCUCCUCUAGGGUCGGCCCGGCCCUGCAGAGGAGACCUCUUUGGGCUGUGGAAAUUGGUGGCCUCCGCCAAUGGGGAGUAUUAUUGAAGAAAAUAUCUUAACUCUAGGAAAGAAACUUUGAUACCAUGGAAAAUUUGGAUAAGAAAUAUUGUAUUGCCUUGAGAUAAUAAAUUUAGUACAAAUUCCUAAACCUAGAAGUAAUAAUAGGACACUAAACCCACUACACAUAAAUGCCUAAUAAUUAUAACACCAUCAACAAUAUAACUCAGAUGAUCAUGUUACCUUUUUUUGUCUUCCAUGUAUCACGAAAGCUCAAUUAACUGAUAAUCUAUCUUUUUCUUGUUCAAGUUAUCUGUGUCCUCUUGGAGUUACACCAUGCCGUGCCAUGCUUGCUAACUUGUAAUCUUCCAAUUGAUUCAUUUGAUAGUACAAAUUUUCUCUUACCUAUGGAUUUCUUGAAUCCUGAGGGUUAUAUUACCAUAGUCGAAAAUUAUCUGAAUUAACAAUCUCUGGACAUUGGCGUCCUAAUACAUGUGUUUCACAAUGUUAAGAGAUGGUUGGUUCUUUGGUUAAAUCAGCGAUUCUU